rnacentral:rRNA from 1 species
CCGUUGCCGGCGACCGGCGCACGGGUGAGUAACACGUAUGCAACCUGGCCGUGACAGAUGGAUAACCGGGAGAAAUCCCGCCUAAUACAACAUAAUGCCGGGAGGGGACAUCCCCUGCCGGCCAAAGGGGGCGACCCCGGUCACGGAUGGGCAUGCGGCGCAUUAGGUAGUUGGUGGGGCAACGGCCCACCAAGCCGACGAUGCGUAGGGGUUCUGAGAGGAAGGUCCCCCACAUUGGAACUGAGACACGGUCCAAACUCCUACGGAAGGCAGCAG